rnacentral:rRNA from 1 species
UACGUAGGGUGCGAGCGUUGUCCGGAAUUAUUGGGCGUAAAGAGCUUGUAGGCGGUUUGUCGCGUCUGCUGUGAAAUCUCAAGGCUCAACCUUGAGCUUGCAGUGGGUACGGGCAGACUAGAGUGUGGUAGGGGAGACUGGAAUUCCUGGUGUAGCGGUGAAAUGCGCAGAUAUCAGGGGGAACACCGAUGGCGAAGGCAGGC